rnacentral:rRNA from 1 species
UAGGGAAUCUUCGGCAAUGGACGGAAGUCUGACCGAGCAACGCCGCGUGAGUGAAGAAGGUUUUCGGAUCGUAAAGCUCUGUUGUUAGAGAAGAACGUUGGUAGGAGUGGAAAAUCUACCAAGUGACGGUAACUAACCAGAAAGGGACGGCUAACUACGUGCCAGCAGCCGCGGUAAUACGUAGGUCCCGAGCGUUGUCCGGAUUUCUUGGGCGUAAAGCGAGCGCAGGCGGUUCUUUAAGUCUGAAGUUAAAGGCAGUGGCUUAACCAUAGUACGCUUUGGAAACUGGAGGACUUGAGUGCAGAAGGGGAGAGUGGAAUUCCAUGUGUAGCGGUGAAAUGCGUAGAUAUAUGGAGGAACACCGGUGGCGAAAGCGGCUCUCUGGUCUGUAACUGACGCUGAGGCUCGAAAGCGUGGGGAGCAAACAGG